UACGUAGGGUGCAAGCGUCAAUCGGAAUUACUGGGCGUAAAGCGUGCGCAGGCGGUCGUGCAAGACAGGUGUGAAAUCCCCGGGCUUAACCUGGGAACUGCACUUGUGACUGCACGGCUGGAGUACGGCAGAGGGGGAUGGAAUUCCGCGUGUAGCAGUGAAAUGCGUAGAUAUGCGGAGGAACACCGAUGGCGAAGGCAGUCCCCUGGGCCUGUACUGACGCUCAUGCACGAAAGCGUGGGGAGCAAACAGG
rnacentral:rRNA from 1 species